GUGGGGAAUAUUGCACAAUGGGGGAAACCCUGAUGCAGCAACGCCGCGUGAAGGAAGAAGGUUUUCGGAUCGUAAACUUCUAUCAAUAGGGACGAAUAAAUGACGGUACCUAAAUAAGAAGCCCCGGCUAACUACGUGCCAGCAGCCGCGGUAAUACGUAGGGGGCAAGCGUUAUCCGGAAUUACUGGGUGUAAAGGGAGCGUAGGCGGCAUGGUAAGUAAGAUGUGAAAGCCCGAGGCUUAACCUCGAGGAUUGCAUUUUAAACUAUCAAGCUAGAGUACAGGAGAGGAAAGCGGAAUUCCUAGUGUAGCGGUGAAAUGCGUAGAUAUUAGGAAGAACACCAGUGGCGAAGGCGGCUUUCUGGACUGAAACUGACGCUGAGGCUCGAAAGCGUGGGGAGCGAACAGGAUUAGAAACCCGUGUAGUCC
rnacentral:rRNA from 1 species